AGUGGGAAAACUGGGUCAGAUGGUCAAAUUCCAAGUUUUCUGAGGAAUCUCCAUUUUGCUUUCCAUAGUGGUUGCACCAUUUUGCAGUCCCAUCAGCAAU
rnacentral:pre_miRNA from 1 species